rnacentral:rRNA from 1 species
GACGAACGCUGGCGGCGUGCUUAACACAUGCAAGUCGAACGGUAAGGCCCUUCGGGGUACACGAGUGGCGAACGGGUGAGUAGCACGUGGGUGAUCUGCCCUGCACUUCGGGAUAAGCCUGGGAAACUGGGUCUAAUACCGGAUAGGACCACUGCCUGCAUGGGUGGUGGUGGAAAGCUUUUGCGGUGUGGGAUGGCCCGCGGCCUAUCAGCUUGUUGGUGGGGUGAUGGCCUACCAAGGCGACGACGGGUAGCCGGCCUGAGAGGGUGACCGGCCACAGUGGGACUGAGAUACGGCCCAGACUCCUACGGGAGGCAGCAGUGGGGAAUAUUGCACAAUGGGCGCAAGCCUGAUGCAGCGACGCCGCGUGAGGGAUGACGGCCUUCGGGUUGUAAACCUCUUUCAGCACCGACGAAGCGCAAGUGACGGUAGGUGCAGAAGAAGGACCGGCCAACUACGUGCCAGCCGCCGCCGUAA